GGGGGUGUAGCUCAGAGGGAGAGCACCUGCCUUGCAAGCAGGGGGUCAGGAGUUCGAAUCUCCUCAUCUCCA
rnacentral:tRNA from 1 species